AGCAGCCGCGGUAAUUCCAGCUCCAAUAGCGUAUAUUAAAGUUGUUGCAGUUAAAAAGCUCGUAGUUGAAUUUCGGGGUCAGUAGGUUGGUCAUGCCUCCGGUAUGUACUGGUCUCACUGAUUCCUCCUUCCUGAUGAGCCGUAAUGCCAUUAAUUUGGUGUUGCGGGGAAUCUGGACUGUUACUUUGAAAAAAAUUAGAGUGUUUAAAGCAAGCUAACGCUUGAAUACAUUAGCAUGGAAUAAUGGAAUAGGACGUUCGAUCCUAUUUUGUUGGUUUCUAGGAUUGACGUAAUGAUUAAUAGGGAUAGUUGGGGGCAUUAGUAUUCAAUUGUCAGAGGUGAAAUUCUUGGAUUUAUUGAAGACUAACUACUGCGAAAGCAUUUGCCAAGGAUGUUUUCAUUAAUCAAAGAACGAAAGUUAGGGGAUCGAAGACGAUCAGAUACCGUCGUAGUCUUAACCAUAAACUAUGCCGACUAGGGAUCGGAUGAUGUUAAUUUUUUAAUGACUCAUUCGGCGCCG
rnacentral:rRNA from 1 species